CAGAGAUAUCACAAUUCCAUUGCAAAUUGAUCCUGCUUUGCUUGAUGUUCUGGAAUGAAAGUUCUUGUCAAUAUGCUAUAUUCUGAUUGGAAUCCUAAAGAUGCUGCAGGAAGAUGCUGCAGGGCGAUGCUGGAGUGGUGACCACAUCCGAGCAUCUGAUCAUUAUUUCUUAAUGUUCUAAUUUUGGUGGACCACAUGAAGCUUUGUGAACAUACAGUUAGUGGAUCUCACUACCAAGUAAAACAAAGAAAACACUACAAAAAAUUAUCGUUCACAGUUAAGAAUUUAUUAGCACCCAUUUGAGUCAAACAUGGUACUUCAGCAAUAUAAGUACACUUCUGAGCAAUAGCUAUGCCAUCCACUCAUCGGCCGCCUCUGGAGCACUUCACCAGUAAACUUUAAUUACAGAGGUUGCACAAAACAUCUGAGAUCAAGGUCUGGCAGUAAUUCACUAGGAAACUUCAAUUACAAAUGGUUGCACAAUAAAUCUUCGAUCAAGGACUAAUACAAAAGUUCCUGCUACUGCCGUAGGCAGACAGUUCCACACCCAAAAGGGCUGCUAAUUUGCCUUCAAGGCAUCAUACAAGAACCAAACAAACAGUUGCGAGCUCCGAUCAGAUAAAACAUGCAAAAAUUCUAGUCGCAAUAGAAAAGCAUAAUUUUUGUUGUCCAUUUUAAAUAAUGAGAGACUGGUAAGGAUGCUUGCAAGUAACACUGUAAAUCAAAGAAAUGGAGAAUAGGCAGAAUUUUUUUUGAGUAAACUUCUGGAUUGACACAUUAAAUUAUUUGUCAAGCAAAACAUAAAUACCCAUUAAUGAAGAGCUCAUUAUAGUUAACAAACAAUAAUUAACCCAAAAUGGAAGGCACAAAUCCUCAAGUCCACCAGCACAUAAGAUAAAAAAGGAGGCAUUCAGGGAUAAAAC